rnacentral:ncRNA from 2 species
CCUUCCGAGGGGCGCUGCAGCAGGCACGGCCUGUCAGGCUCGGAAGGGGCGUUGCAUAACGCAUCAACGGCGCCCAUUCGCA